GCUCCCUGCUCGCCGCGUCUCCCCGCUCGCCUCCUGCCUCGGGUGGCGGCAGCUUUGGGCGUCCCGCACCUCCUCCCCAUCCUUUCCCCCCCUCCAAGGCCCCAUCCUUCGGCUCUGCCACCCUCUGCAUGUCCCCGUGGGCCGUGGAGAGGUGGGUGACCCCAGCACCCCCAGCCACGAGCAGAGCUUCACCACGGGGGUCCCGCGCCCGCCUUGCGAAGCACAAACUAUGGGAUGCACAGCGCUUCCCUCUGCCGUAUGGAACCGGAGGCUCUGCAGACGCGGUGAGGUUUGGGGCUGCUGCAAGAGCCGUGCACGGAGCGGAGGGCGCCGCUGGCAGAGGGAGGCUGCAGCGACGGAGCUGCUCCCCGCGAGCCCCGGUGAAUCAACAGCUCUGCGUGCGGAGCGGAGGCGAAAAGCACCCGGCAGGAUCGACGCUUCCCGUGCCGGUGCCGGGAUGCUCUUAGCGGUUUGUCACCGCGCCCACGGGGCUGAGAGGCAGCCUGCCCCCGUCCGUAGGGUGGAGGUUAACGCUGCCGUCCGCAGGGGGCACCCAGGCACCCGCAGCCUCAAUGUGAUCACACCCGGAGGUCCCGGGGAUGCGCUGAUGCUGCUCUGAGCACUGCAUUUCCCACUGCCCUGCUGGGAGCGGUGAUCCUGCUCGAGAGCUUGCAGGGACUGCGACCAGGGCCACGGUGGUGCUCACCAAAGCCCUUCACGUCCUGCUGCAUGCAUGACCAGCUCAAACCCUUCUCUGCCUGCAGCUCGGGGUGUCUGCAUGCUGCGGGCAUCGCGUGGCCCGCAUAGCUGGGAGCCUCCCCUCUGCAUAACGCUCGUCAUGCAGGCUCGUUGGAGGACGGUUGGAGCGCAUUGAAGCGCAGCCGGCGGCACCCACGCGUGGCCGGGACCGCCAGGGGGAGACCUCGGCCGCGGCACGGGGAGGUUCUCCGGUUGGGAGCACGGCGGGCAGCCCCCGUGGUCCUGCGUGGGGUGAGCGGGGAGGGCUGUGCGGGCUCUGAGCGCCUGUCCGGGCUGAGAGGGUCCGCAGCGCUCCGGGACUGCGCUCCUGGGCUCUGCUUUGUGGACUCACAUCGGCAUCCCUGCCGCGGUGGGU